UUUCGUAAAAAUUUUAUUCGAAAAUUUUGACGUUUGAGCACUCAAUUUAGUCAAAAGGACUAAAUUGUAAAAAGUGCAAAAGUUGAGUUCUUUAUAUAUGAGGUGCCUAAUUGUUAUGAGUUUUAAAUUGAAAGUCCUUAUGUGACAAUUAUUCCUUUAAUAAGUUAGUGAAUGGAUAUUUGUUUGGUAUUUUUGAAAUUUGGUUGAAAUAAAAAGGGUAAUUUUGUAAAUUAAUUAAAAUAACCUAAUAAGACAAAUGAUAAAAGCUAUCAUUUUUUUUCAUUCUUUCUUCUUCAACCGUGGGAAAGAACAGAAAAUAGCAGCCAUGGAUGAGCUCCAUUCGGCCAAGCUUUUAUGGCUUAUAUAGAUGAUGAAAAUUGAGACUUGGACCUAGAACGGAAGGAAAUCGAUUUAUGGACGAGUAUGUCCUUUUCACAUUUGUGGUAUCGAGGUAAGUUCGUAUGUAAACAAUACCAUGCUAUACAUGUAUUUAAAUGUUAUCAUUACAUGAAUUGUACAGAUAUUAAUGUGUAUGUAAUUAAUAGAAAUAUCAUAAGACAAAGCCUUAAUAGACGAGGAAAAAUCCCGUUUGAACCUUAGGAAUAGAAUAGGAUACGAGUGACAUGUCACUAGGAAUUAUGAGUCUAGAUGACUAGCUCGAGAGUGAGCAUUGAAAUGUCAUGAGAUAUGAGGUAGCUUUAGCUACAAUUGAAGCACUUAUGUGCAAAGGCUUUUCCGAGUAUCUAAUUAGUAUUCCAAGUGUUCAACGGGCAAUCCAAGGAAAGAGUUAAUGAUGGUCUCAAUGAGGUAAGUCAUUGGUGAGUAUGCACUCGAGUUAUGUUACGAGUUGUGCAAGUAUGUAUACUAAUCCUAUGAGAAUGCCUUGAUAUGUGAUGAUCUAUGAUGCAUAAUAUGUGUUCUUACCAUGAUGGAUAAAA